rnacentral:tRNA from 1 species
GCCUUCGUGGUGUAGUGGUCAAAACGCUCGAAGCGUAUUCAAGAUGUCCGCGGUUCGAGUCCCGGCGAGGGCA